rnacentral:snRNA from 1 species
GGAUGUGAGGGCGAUCUGGCUGUGACAUCUGUCACCCCAUUGAUACUAGGGUUGAUUCGGCUGAUCUGGUUGGCUAGGUGGGUGUCCCCUUCCUCCCUCACUGCUCCACAUGCGUCCCUCCCGAAGCUGUGCGCUCAGUCCAAGAGGAGGACCAGACCCGAUAGAGAAGGACCGCUCUUUGGUCAAGGUUAUACCAGUAGCUGCGCUCGCCUGCUAGAGUCUCCAAACAAGCUCUCAAGUAGUACUGCUCAUACUGAAUAUGGAAAGGAGGCGUUAACAGAGUGCUUGGGAAAACCAAAACCAAAACCAAAACCCUUGACUCCAGUCCCACAUACUCACUCACACCAGAUCAAAGUCAAUUU